UACGUAGGUGGCAAGCGUUGUCCGGAUUUAUUGGGUUUAAAGGGCGCGUAGGCGGCCACCGCAAGUCGACUGUGAAAUCUCCGGGCUUAACCCGGAAAGGUCAGCCGAUACUGCGGGGCUAGAGUGCAGAAGGGGCAACUGGAAUUCUCGGUGUAGCGGUGAAAUGCGCAGAUAUCAGGAGGAACACCGGUGGCGAAGGCGGUUCUCUGGGCAUUACCUGACGCUGAGGAGCGAAAGUGUGGGGAGCGAACAGG
rnacentral:rRNA from 1 species